rnacentral:lncRNA from 1 species
GACGGAAGUUAGAGUGUUGAAGCUCCAAACAUGACGGUCAGAUUUCUGCAAGCUUCAAAGCUGCUGCGAUGUUUCGAAGAUCUGGAAAUAUUCAACCGUUAGUUUGUUCUGAAUUUUUGAUAUGUUAUAGAAGAGAUGAUGAGGAACAACUUCGAUGAAGAAAGUAUGUUGAUUUGAACAAGAGCAAAUGGAGUUUCAAAGCUCACAACAAGUCUGACGGGUUAACAGAAAAAUCAUGAACAGUUACUCAUCAUACCUGAAUGUCUGGAGUUGUACUACUUCGAUGGAUCUCAAAUUUGGGUAUGUUGUAGUUCCCAUGUUAAGGGACAAUUUUCAUGAAGACAAUUUUUCGAUUUGAGCUACAGAGGAUGGUGUUAUAUUGAAGAGUUACCGCUCCCUCUACUCUGACUCCCUUUGGGCUUGCCAUUUUGGGCUACACAAAUAAUUUUGGGCCCUCGCAAAGCUAAACCUAGCUUGAAAUAUUUUUGGAUAAGGCAUAUAUGAAGGUGUGACAUCAAAACAAGGCUUCGUUACUUUGACAAAUUAGUAGCAAGCAAGACACCUCAUUCGGCAACUCUCCUCGCCUGAAGACUUGGGGGACUCCCACCAUAUGCUACUGCACCUUGAUACUCGGAAGUCUCACAACCACUCAGUGACUUGGAUUUUUCAAGUCUCCAACCGAGAAGUUUUCCUCACUCAGGAAAUUAAGGGAACACUACCUCAAACUACAUGCUUCACUCACAAAGCUCCAACAAUACAAGUUUCAACAAAAGAAAAAAUUCAAAGAACUUUCUGAAGAAGGCUUUGGUGUAUUUAACACAAUAUGUUGAAAUGAAGCAAAGCUUAUUUAUUAAUACUUCCGAUAAGCUACAAAUAUGUACAUAUACAUGAGUCAAAAUAAACAAACAAGAGGGAGCCUUCACAAAGGUUGCUUAGGGG